AGAGUUGGCGCGCCAGGGCGUGGAAGCCGCCGGAGGAUCCCGCCUGUCGCAGCGGGGACGCGUGUGGGCCCCUGCUCCCAGGCCACUUCGCGCGCGCGCCCCCCACAUCCUCCUCGGGACACUUGUCCCUGGAUCCUCUACCCCUGGCCGGCCCGAGGCCGCCUUCUCGGGAAGCCCCACCAGCCCCCAAGGGUGUUUUCCCUUGGCUACCUGCGCUGCGAGGAGAGAAGGGAAUUCAGAGAAGGGGUACAAGGGGGGCGUCCCUGGGAGGGGGCGCGACUGGAGGAGACAGAACGGGGAGCGGGUGCCAAAGCGCGGGCCUUUGCUCCGCCUGGGCGCAGUGGGAGCACCAACUGGCAGAGUUGGAAACUUUUCCUCCACGUGGCACCACAGUGCGUGGACGAGCGACCCCGCGCCCGGAUGACCCCUGGGAUUCCCGCCUCGUCUUCCAGCGGGGGACCUAGGGACGCACGGGCGGCUUCAGAUCCGGGAGCGCGAGGCCUAACAGCCGGGGGCCGAACUUGAACCUCGGAGGCGGCCGCGGGCGAGGGGCGGGGCCGAAGGGGCCGGGACCGCCGCCCCAGCUCGAGGACCCGUUAGACCGGCAAACCGCAGUCCCUGCCCCGCGGGCUUCCUUUACUUUUUGGGAGUGGGGGGCGGUUUCCCUGCUUUUUCCACCACAGCCCCUCCUCCCGCCGCAAUGUGGCUGAUGCUCAUAAAAAGUUGUAUUAAAGAGCUGACUGCAGCCGAGAAUCGAUCAACAAAAGCGACCAGCCUCUCUGGGUCUAUCCACGGCCUUCUCAACAGAUGACUUCAAGUUGAUUUCGUGCUUUAUUUCUUAAGAAUAGUGACUAACCUAAGGGAUCUGAUUCAAUUUAUUAGGAACACAGUGCCACCUUCCAAAAUUACUUACCUAAGAGGACUGAGCCUGCUGUCCCUGGAGCAGUUAGCUAAAACAGUGCCUCAGUACGGAGCGUACCUGUGUUAACUUCUAGAGUGCUGUUUCCGGCAGCUGCUGAAAUCCACGCUGAGGUUAUCAAGCUCAUCCUACAAAAUAAAGUGUCUCUGAUGAAUGACACAUUGAUCAACCCAUAUUCUUCAGACUCUACCAUGUGAAGCCAAUGAAAGAUGCCUGCUGGUGACCAAAUGAUGUUCAUGUAAAAUGGCCAUUCUGGCAAAUUUAAUAAGCUUUAGAUUUAUUUUAAAAACCAACCAGUAUUUCUAUCCCUUCUCAAGGCAAUGUUUUCUAUUUGAGGUUUCACUUGACAUGACCAGGUAGGAAAAUUGAUGAAUAGUCAUAAGAAGAAACUUU
rnacentral:lncRNA from 1 species